GCUUGUCUCAAAGAUUAAGCCAUGCAUGUCUAAGUAUAAAUGUUAUACAGUGAAACUGCGAAUGGCUCAUUAAAACAGUUAUAGUUUAUUUGAUAAUCGAAUUUACAUGGAUAACCGUGGUAAUUCUAGAGCUAAUACAUGCUAAAAACCCCGACUUCGGAAGGGGUGUAUUUAUUAGAUACAAAACCAAUGCCCUUCGGGGCUCCUUGGUGAUUCAUGAUAACUAUACGAAUCGCACGGCCUUGCGCCGGCGAUGGUUCAUUCAAAUUUCUUCCCUAUCAACUUUCGAUGUUUGGGUAUUGGCCAAACAUGGUUGCAACGGGUAACGGAGGGUUAGGGCUCGACCCCGGAGAAGGAGCCUGAGAAACGGCUACUACAUCCAAGGAAGGCAGCAGG
rnacentral:rRNA from 1 species